UGGGGAAUCUUCCGCAAUGGACGAAAGUCUGACGGAGCAACGCCGCGUGAGUGAAGAAGGUUUUCGGAUCGUAAAACUCUGUCUUUUGGGGCGAACGUGAGUAUGGUGAACAAUCAUAGUCAGUGACGGUACCAAAGGAGGAAGCCACGGCUAACUACGUGCCAGCAGCCGCGGUAAUACGUAGGUGGCAAGCGUUGUCCGGAAUUAUUGGGCGUAAAGAGCGCGUAGGCGGGAUAGUCAGUCUGUUGUAAAAGUGCGGGGCUCAACCCCGUGAUCGCAAUGGAAACAGCUAUUCUUGAGUGCAGGAGAGGAAAGUGGAAUUCCCAGUGUAGCGGUGAAAUGCGUAGAUAUUGGGAGGAACACCAGUGGCGAAGGCGACUUUCUGGACUGUGUCUGACGCUGAGGCGCGAAAGCCAGGGGAGCGAACGGGAUUAGAUACCCCGGUAGUCCUGGCCGUAAACGAUGGGUACUAGGUGUGGGGGAUGAUCGAGCCACCUUUCCCGUGCCGGAGUUAACGCAAUAAGUACCCCGCCUGGGGAGUACGGUCGCAAGACUGAAACUCAAAUGAAUUGACGGGGGUCAUAGCUGUUUCCUG
rnacentral:rRNA from 1 species